UAAAAAUAAAACAAAAAACGCCAAACCCACACACUUCAGACUUCACAACCCGACCCUCUCUCUCUCUCUUCACACUGAAAUUUUCUUCACCACCACCUCCUAGAUUCCUCCAUCACCACCAAGCCGCGCCGCACCGCACCUUACCUUACUGCGAUUCCACCUUCCAACUCCUAGAUCCUCAUCAUGCUUGAUGCUUUGGGUGUUUUUAUUCUCAUCUCUAUGCAAUUGUGGAUUGUCAAAUCAAGGGUUUGUGAUUCGAAGUAGAUGACGAAUCUUCGUCUUGAAGAUCUACAUGAAGUUGAUCUACAUGAAUCUGUCACCAUUAAUGACGGGUAAGGGAAUGACUUCAAGAUGGCAUCCUUACCUCUUGCAUUUGCCGUAAAGUUACAAUGUUUUAGCCAUGUUUGGUAAAUUUGAGAAACUUUCCUUGCAUAUUGAUAUUUUGAUGCAUUUCUUGUUAUGUUUCAAUGGAAUUGUUGGCAAUUGGCAUUGACUUCGUUCUCCCAAGGAGAUAAAAAAGGCAUGGCUUUGUUCUAGUAAGGAGAUAACUUUUUUUGAAGGUAAUAUCUAUCCUAAGAUUAAGUUCUUUCUAUGGAAUCUGCUGUUUUCAUAUAACCUCGAUCUUGUUUUGUAAGUUUACGGCCAUUUUUAAGGCAGUUUUCAAGUAUGUAUGUGUGACAUGCAUGUUAGACAUAUAUCUUAUAAUUGUACCUCAUGUCAUGCUUAUAGAAUUCACAAGUAUUCACUGUGAUUGUUUGAAAUCCCCUUUUUCUCCCUUUCUAGGUUGUAAGGAAAGACUAUUUCUUAGACAACUUUUGUGUUUGAAAGAUGAGUAGCAAUAACUUAAAUUUAUAACUAUAAAGACAAAAGGCAUGGUAAGCCAUUCGUUCCUUAUGCAAUUUGAACAGAAAAGUGAAGGAAGAAAGCACCACAGCCUCAUAUUUAUCUGUGAGCAAUGCCAAUAAGUGAGCCACACAUGUUUUUAAAGCUCCAUUGAUGAAUUCUCAUAUUAACGUCCUUUCCGAGAUUUCUUCAUGGUCGCGGUAACACGACUCGUCGUCAAAGGUGAAUUCCUUUUUCAACGAGCAUGUUGCAAAGGUCUGUAAUUAAUAUUCUUCCAAACAAUAUUUAGAGGUUUUCUUGCUGGCCAAAUGGUUGUGUAAUCUAUUAGCAUUUCUAUUUCAUUCAAGUUUUUUGGCUAUAUUUUAAUUUUAGAGCCCUGAUAUAUGGAAAAGAAUUACAUUUAGAUUGUGAUUACUUGUAAACUCAUGUAUAUUUAUUGAUGUAACUUCAAUUGAGUUAUAUUAUUCAAAUGAUAUGUUGUACUAAAUGGGUGUAUGAGAUUUGGGAUAUUUUAGAUUCAAUGACAGGUCUGAUAUGAAAUUUGCUCA